UCCGGUUUGUCACCGGCAGUCUCAUUAGAGUGCCCAACUUAAUGCUGGCAACUAAGGGCGAGGGUUGCGCUCGUUGCGGGACUUAACCCAACAUCUCACGACACGAGCUGACGACAGCCAUGCAGCACCUGUCACCUGGUUCCUUGCGGCACCCCCAUGCAUUUCUGCUAGGGUUCCAGGGAUGUCAAGAGCUGGUAAGGUUCUUCGCGUUGCAUCGAAUUAAUCCACAUAAUCCACCGCUUGUGCGGGUCCCCGUCAAUUCCUCUGAGUUUUAAUCUUGCGACCGUACUCCCCAGGCGGGGCACUUAAUGCGUUAGCUGCGGCACCCAGGGGGUCAAUACCCCGGACACCUAGUGCCCAUCGUUUACAGCGUGGACUAC
rnacentral:misc_RNA from 1 species